rnacentral:rRNA from 1 species
UAGAACGCUGAAGAGAGGAGCUUGCUCUUCUUGGAUGAGUUGCGAACGGGUGAGUAACGCGUAGGUAACCUGCCUUGUAGCGGGGGAUAACUAUUGGAAACGAUAGCUAAUACCGCAUAACAAUGGAUGACACAUGUCAUUUAUUUGAAAGGGGCAAUUGCUCCACUACAAGAUGGACCUGCGUUGUAUUAGCUAGUAGGUGAGGUAACGGCUCACCUAGGCGACGAUACAUAGCCGACCUGAGAGGGUGAUCGGCCACACUGGGACUGAGACACGGCCCAGACUCCUACGGGAGGCAGCAGUAGGGAAUCUUCGGCAAUGGGGGCAACCCUGACCGAGCAACGCCGCGUGAGUGAAGAAGGUUUUCGGAUCGUAAAGCUCUGUUGUAAGUCAAGAACGAGUGUGAGAGUGGAAAGUUCACACUGUGACGGUAGCUUACCAGAAAGGGACGGCUAACUACGUGCCAGCAGCCGCGGUAAUACGUAGGUCCCGAGCGUUGUCCGGAUUUAUUGGGCGUAAAGCGAGCGCAGGCGGUUUGAUAAGUCUGAAGUUAAAGGCUGUGGCUCAACCAUAGUUCGCUUUGGAAACUGUCAAACUUGAGUGCAGAAGGGGAGAGUGGAAUUCCAUGUGUAGCGGUGAAAUGCGUAGAUAUAUGGAGGAACACCGGUGGCGAAAGCGGCUCUCUGGUCUGUAACUGACGCUGAGGCUCGAAAGCGUGGGGAGCGAACAGGAUUAGAUACCCUGGUAGUCCACGCCGUAAACGAUGAGUGCUAGGUGUUGGAUCCUUUCCGGGAUUCAGUGCCGCAGCUAACGCAUUAAGCACUCCGCCUGGGGAGUACGACCGCAAGGUUGAAACUCAAAGGAAUUGACGGGGGCCCGCACAAGCGGUGGAGCAUGUGGUUUAAUUCGAAGCAACGCGAAGAACCUUACCAGGUCUUGACAUCCCGAUGCUAUUUCUAGAGAUAGAAAGUUACUUCGGUACAUCGGUGACAGGUGGUGCAUGGUUGUCGUCAGCUCGUGUCGUGAGAUGUUGGGUUAAGUCCCGCAACGAGCGCAACCCCUAUUGUUAGUUGCCAUCAUUCAGUUGGGCACUCUAGCGAGACUGCCGGUAAUAAACCGGAGGAAGGUGGGGAUGACGUCAAAUCAUCAUGCCCCUUAUGACCUGGGCUACACACGUGCUACAAUGGUUGGUACAACGAGUUGCGAGUCGGUGACGGCAAGCUAAUCUCUUAAAGCCAAUCUCAGUUCGGAUUGUAGGCUGCAACUCGCCUACAUGAAGUCGGAAUCGCUAGUAAUCGCGGAUCAGCACGCCGCGGUGAAUACGUUCCCGGGCCUUGUACACACCGCCCGUCACACCACGAGAGUUUGUAACACCCGAAGUCGGUGAGGUAACCUUUUGGAGCCAGCCG